UACGUAGGGUGCAAGCGUUGUCCGGAAUUAUUGGGCGUAAAGAGCUCGUAGGCGGUCUGUCGCGUCGGCUGUGAAAACCCGGGGCUCAACCCCGGGCCUGCAGUCGAUACGGGCAGUCUAGAGUGCGGUAGGGGAGACUGGAAUUCCUGGUGUAGCGGUGAAAUGCGCAGAUAUCAGGAGGAACACCGGUGGCGAAGGCGGGUCUCUGGGCCGUAACUGACGCUGAGGAGCGAAAGCGUGGGGAGCGAACAGG
rnacentral:rRNA from 1 species